rnacentral:misc_RNA from 1 species
UGUGGGAGCGGGCUUGCCCGCGAUGACGGAGUGUCAGUCGAUAUCGUUGGCACCUGAUACACCGCUAUCGCGGGCAAGCCCGCUCCCACA